AUCAUUUUUUUAAUUAAAACAUGAAUAACCAAUAUAUAGAUUGGUAAAGCAACCUUAGAGGGGAAUAGUGUUUAUGAAACAUGAGAUUUUUUUCAUAAAUAUGGUUCUAAUUUAACAAAUCGGUAAACUUUUUGCUAGCUUAAUUAAAACAAGUUCUAAUCUGGUUAGGAAGGUGAGCGCCACGCUCUUUUCUGUUCUCUCUCUUCGUGCAGUCUGCAUUCGUGUUAUCCAAAGCGAGGGCGCCCAGUGAAGGUUGCGCAAGCGAUCUCGAUCGUUGGCCUAGGGUUUUGGGUGUCGUUUGGUUUUUUCUUCUAUUGUCAGGGAUGUUCAUUUGCUUCGUUUCUGGGUGGAAUUAGUGUUCCUGUCUCGCGUUUCAGAUCUGGGUUUGUAGGUUAUCCCUUGUCACGCUUUUAUUUGUGUUUUUUCACCAUUGUCUGUUGAAUUCGAGCAUUCGUCGAUCUGUGGGUCUUCGGUGUCUAGGAGAUCUGGCCUGUUUCCGGAGGCGAGCAUCUACUGUGAGGAGAAGUUGCCAGAGUGUAGGCAUGUAUCUGAGAUUGGAGAGGGUGAGUAUGGUGUUCGGGAGCGUGCGGUGGCAAGGUCGGAGGUUGUCCACCGGUGGCAGCGGAACGAAGGAAUAAGAAGCCUGGGUUGCGAAUCCUAGAACUGGCUGUUGCGGUUUAGUCAAGACUGGAGUGGGUUGGUUCAUGGCACUGGAGGGCCGUCUGUUGGGUGGCUUCUUGAUGGGCCUCAUUCUGUGGAGGGUGUUGUAGGCCCUAAGCAGACUGAAGUGGGUGUAGUGAGUAUUAAGGGGUGUGGGCCGCGAGUUGGGCCAUCUGAUAUGGGUCUUCUUGUUAGGCCUCUUUCUGUGGAAGGUGUUGUGGGCCUCAGACAAGCAGAUGUUAAGGGGUCUGGGUCUGUUUUUAAUUCUUGUGGGCUUCGUGAGUCUAGGGUCCAAAGUGUGGUGGAUGGUGUCGAGGUUGAGGGUAGUCCAGUUUUGUCCACUCUUCCGGGUAGGAUUCGAUUGGGUUGACCCUGUCGAGGGUUCGGUUCUUCAUGUUGGUUCUGGGCGGGUCUCCUCUGGGUUUAAGUCAGGUCUGGUCGAAGAGAGGGUUAGGUCUGGUUCUUUGUUUGGUUUGACAGUCGGUUCAUCUGAGUUCAGAUCCAGUUUGAGGAGUAGUGGUUCUGGGUCUAGGUUAUUUUCUUCUUGUUUACAGCUUGGAUUGGGUAGUGAGGAUCCGGUUUAUGGUCAAAAGAAUCGGGUUGGGUCGAUUUUGUGGUUCUAGGCUCCCCAAUACGCCAGUCUCGCGGUCUGGUUCAGCUGUAACGAGCGGUCUGAAGGAGAGUGGCUCUGGUCGGGUGCUCAUUGUAUGGGUUCUAAGGAGGGCAGGUAUUGGGCUUCUCUUUUUGGUUCUUAGUUGAAGAAGAAUGUGGAUCUUGAGUUCAUUCCUAUGGUGGUUGAGGGCGAGCAUUCUUGUCAAACCGUCGUUAGAGGUUUUGGAGGAUGGUGUUGAUAUGUGGGAGCGCUCUCUUGUUGGAAAGUUUUUUGAUGCCAUGUUACCUUAUACUGUUAAUUCUCGCCUUAGUUCUAAAAGUUAGGGUAGGGUUGAGUUGCCUACUAUUACGCUUUUGGAGAAUGGGUUGAUACUGUUUCAGUUUCUUAAGGAGAAGUCUAGAGACUGGGUUCUAGCUAUAAGCCUUCGCAUAUUGGGGUAGCCUAUUUUGUUGCGUAAGUAGAUGCCCGAUAUUUUUCCUAAGACUUUUGUGUUUGAUUCUAUGCCAGUUUGGAUUAAACUAUCUCGUGUUCCGUUGGAGUUGUGGACUCAUAGGGGUUUGGCUAUUCUUGCCAGUGAAGUGGGUAAACCUAUGGCUUUAGAUAUGGCGACUAGGGAUAAACGUCAGUGUAUUUAGGUAAUGUGGAAGGCAUCUCUAUUUUAUUUUUACCCUGUGGUGAUGGAGGAUCAGUUGAUUAUUCGGACUCUGGUUGAUGUUGUUUCUGGUAACCGUGUGGAUAUUGUUUGUGUUUAUGCUUCUAAUCUUGUGGUUGAGUGGCAUAUUCUAAUAUUUGUUCAAGUUGGCAACAAAUGGGUGUUGUUAUCGAAGACUUUAAUGCUAUUUGUAAUCUUUUUUAUGUGUUUGGGGGUAGUCCUAAUUGUAUGGAGAUGGAGAAGUUUGAUCCAACAAUUAUAGAGGUUGAUUUUUUGGAACUUAAUGCACAGGGUAAUUGGUUUA